UUUUCUCCAUAUUUUCACCAAUCUGAAAAAUCUCCAACUACUUCCUAUAUGGAGUAUAUUCUUUAAUUCCACCAUCCCAAUCUCUCAUUCUGCUGUCUGCCGUUAUCUUCUUCCUCCCAUCAAAGUUGAGAGGAGAACCGAGACUUACCGUGAAAUCAAUCCUCCCUGCGACUAGAUUUUCUCUCUUCGAAGGGUAAACUUGUGCACGUUGUUUGCGGUGGAAACGGAAAGUGAUUUGAGGAGUUAAGCGAUUGAGAUUUGGAUGAAAAGCAGGAAGUGAAGAAAAAGUUGUUCUCCAACUUUUAUCAAUUAGUCCAAAAGUUUGAGGGAAGUAUGGAUCAUUUGUCUUUGUUAAGUGUUGGUCUUGAUGAUUUGGAAGAGCAUAUAUUUGGAAAUUGUGGAGCACCUUCCGUCAUUGAAAAGAAGAAGAUGGUUGAGGAUUUUUAUGGAAUGACAGUACCUGAUGUAAUUGACGUACAUCCUCCAGACGUUGUUAGUACCAAAGGAUCAGCUAGUGGCAGAGUAGCAAAGAGGGAGAGUGCAAUAAGGAAAACAAAUAAGUCUCUACGACGGCGUGGUAAAUGUCAUGAGCUGGGUCGUCAUGAUUCAAGAAAUUGUGGUAGAGUCAAUGAGAAGACAGAUUGAAGCCAUUUGAUAUACUUUAGGUAUUUUUGGUGUAAAAUGAUAUUUUUGUUUAAUAAAAUGAUACUUUGGGCU